GACGAAGGAUCCAAGCGUUGUCCGGAUUUACUGGGUUUAAAGGGUGCGUAGGCGGUUUAUUAAGUCAGUGGUGAAAGCCUGUAGCUUAACUAUAGAAUAGCCAUUGAAACUGAUCAACUUGAGUACGGCUGAGGUGACUGGAAUGUAACAUGUAGCGGUGAAAUGCUUAGAUAUGUUACAGAACACCGAUUGCGAAGGCAAGUCACUAAACCGUAACUGACGCUGAGGCACGAAAGCGUGGGGAGCAAACAGGAUUAGAUACCCUGGUAGUCCACGCCCUAAACGUUGAAUACUCGGUCUUGGCGAUAUACAGUCAGGGCCCAAGCGAAAGCGUUAAGUAUUCCACCUGGGAAGUACGAUCGCAAGAUUGAA
rnacentral:rRNA from 1 species